rnacentral:rRNA from 1 species
UUGUUCCUACGGGGCGCAGCAGUGGGGAAUAUUGCACAAUGGGGGAAACCCUGAUGCAGCGACGCCGCGUGAGUGAAGAAGUAUUUCGGUAUGUAAAGCUCUAUCAGCAGGGAAGAAGUUGACGGUACCUGAGUAAGAAGCCCCGGCUAACUACGUGCCAGCAGCCGCGGUAAUACGUAGGGGGCAAGCGUUAUCCGGAUUUACUGGGUGUAAAGGGAGCGUAGACGGUUAUGCAAGUCUGGAGUGAAAGGCGGGGGCUCAACCCCCGGACUGCUCUGGAAACUGUAGAACUAGAGUGCAGGAGG